GACCGUAAACCGGAUGUGUAACGGUUUUUGCCUGAAAACACGCUGAAGGAACAGCAUCAGAGCUCAGCCAGCACUCAGACAGACAGACGGACGGACAGACGGGCAGGCUGGCAGACUGGCAGCACAGCUGGCACAGUGCUGGCUGCAUCCGGCCACACAGAUGCCCGCGGAACUUUGAUCUAAAUCAUAAUUUUGUAGGCUACCCCAAGAGACAUGGUCAUGGAGCAGACUCCUGCUGGCACGCCCGAGCUAACGUUAGCCAAGAGGGGGAAUUUCAGAAAUUUGAGCUCUGCUCUCCUGUCAAAAUGCUAACGAGCCCUUUGCUACUGCCUGUUUAAGU